rnacentral:rRNA from 1 species
AUUGAACGCUGGCGGCAUGCCUUACACAUGCAAGUCGAACGGUAACAGGUCUUCGGAUGCUGACGAGUGGCGAACGGGUGAGUAAUACAUCGGAACGUGCCUAGUAGUGGGGGAUAACUACCCGAAAGAGUGGCUAAUACCGCAUGAGAUCUACGGAUGAAAGCAGGGGAUCGCAAGACCUGGUGCUACUAGAGCGGCCGAUGGCAGAUUAGGUAGUUGGUGGGAUAAAAGCUUACCAAGCCGACGAUCUGUAGCUGGUCUGAGAGGACGAUCAGCCACACUGGGACUGAGACACGGCCCAGACUCCUACGGGAGGCAGCAGUGGGGAACUUUGGACAAUGGGCGCAAGCCUGAUCCAGCAAUGCCGCGUGCAGGAUGAAGGCCUUCGGGUUGUAAACUGCUUUUGUACGGAACGAAAAGCCCUGGGUUAAUACCCUGGGGUCAUGACGGUACCGUAAGGAUAAGCACCGGCUAACUACGUGCCAGCCGCCGCCGUAA